GAUCUUGUAGGUUGGCGUUCUGUUCGGGUGGAAGCACGGUCGAGAGAUCGUGUGGACCGUUCAGUAACGAAAAUCCUGGUCAUAGUAGCAGCGUUAGUCGGGUUAGAACCCCGACGGCCGAACGAGUAAGGGUUCCUCAGCAAUGCUGAUCAGCUGAGGGUUAGCCGGUCCUAAGUCAAUCCGUAAGUCGAAAUUGACAACAGGGAAAUAGGUUAAUAUUCCUAUGCCAGUGUGCACUCAAAGCCGACGCUUUGGGGCCGCCUGAGCUGGGCUUUCGCCCAGUCUAACUAUCGAAAUCCGUGGAAACCGUAAUGGUACGAAGCGGACGAAUGGUAGGAUAGCGCAAGUCAGGCCAACCUAGAGCCCGUGAAAAGGCGAGCACACUGUCCGUACCGAGAUCCGACACAGGUACUCGUGGCGGCGAAAGCCAAGGUCUGUCGGGAGCAACCGACGUUAGGGAAUUCGGCAAGUUAGUCCCGUACGUUCGCAAUAAGGGAUGCCUGCCUCGCGAAGAGGCAGGUCGCAGUGACUCGGGCGCUCCGACUGUCUAGUAACAACAUAGGUGACCGCAAAUCCGCAAGGACUCGUACGGUCACUGAAUCCUGCCCAGUGC
rnacentral:ncRNA from 1 species